rnacentral:rRNA from 1 species
CAGCCGCCACGGUAAUACAUAGGGUGCGAGCGUUAAUCGGAAUUACUGGGCGUAAAGCGUGCGUAGGCGGUGAGCUAAGUCUGCUGUGAAAUCCCCGGGCUCAACCUGGGAAUGGCAGUGGAUACUGGCUCGCUAGAGUGUGUCAGAGGAUGGUGGAAUUCCCGGUGUAGCGGUGAAAUGCGUAGAGAUCGGGAGGAACAUCAGUGGCGAAGGCGGCCAUCUGGGACAACACUGACGCUGAGGCACGAAAGCGUGGGGAGCAAACAGGAUUAGAUACCCGCGUAGUCCCUGUCUCUUAUAC